GGACGGGUGUCCGAGCGGCUUAAGGAGCACGAUUGGAAAUCGUGUGGGGUUUAACCGCCCUCGUGGGUUCGAAUCCCACCCCGUCCG
rnacentral:tRNA from 1 species